UGUGCCUCUUUGCUAAAGAGGUGAGCCCGUCAAAAGGCUCCGAGAGUUCGAAUCUCUCCGUCUCCG
rnacentral:tRNA from 1 species